UUCUCAUAUAUAUAGUCCUUCCAACCCCUAUCACCAAAACGAAUACGUAGCCACCUAGAAAUACCUUAAUCAUUAUGUCUCCCACUAUUAUAUACUUAGUUCUAUAUUAACGGGACUGCGGUUGAAACCCAACCUUUUCCAAAAUCAAUCUGCUAAUUACCCUUAAUUACAAAAAGAACCCACCAAUUUAGACAACCUUUCAAUUAAAUCCGUAAACUCUCCCAACAACUCAGUACUUAAAAAAUUCGGGUGUGACAUUUUGGCACUUUAGGAAGGUAUAAAU
rnacentral:lncRNA from 1 species